rnacentral:rRNA from 1 species
GAUGAACGCUGGCGGCGUGCCUAAUACAUGCAAGUCGAGCGAACGGACGAGAAGCUUGCUUCUCUGAUGUUAGCGGCGGACGGGUGAGUAACACGUGGAUAACCUACCUAUAAGACUGGGAUAACUUCGGGAAACCGGAGCUAAUACCGGAUAAUAUUUUGAACCGCAUGGUUCAAAAGUGAAAGACGGUCUUGCUGUCACUUAUAGAUGGGCCCGCGCUGCAUUAGCUAGUUGGUAAGGUAACGGCUUACCAAGGCAACGAUGCAUAGCCGACCUGAGAGGGUGAUCGGCCACACUGGGACUGAGACACGGUCCAGACUCCUACGGGAGGCAGCAGUAGGGAAUCUUCCGCGAUGGGCGAAAGCCUGACGGAGCAACGCCGCGUGAGUGAUGAAGGUCUUCGGAUCGUAAAACUCUGUUAUUAGGGAAGAACAUAUGUGUAAGUAACUGUGCACAUCUUGACGGUACCUAAUCAGAAAGCCACGGCUAACUACGUG